rnacentral:rRNA from 1 species
UGGGGAAUAUUGGACAAUGGGCGAAAGCCUGAUCCAGCGACGCCGCGUGGGUGAAGAAGGCCUGCGGGUUGUAAAGCCCUUUCGGCGGGGAAGAAAAGCCUCGACCUAACACGUCGGGGUCUUGACGUAACCCAUAGAAGAAGCACCGGCUAACUCUGUGCCAGCAGCCGCGGUAAUACAGAGGGUGCGAGCGUUAAUCGGAUUUACUGGGCGUAAAGCGCGCGUAGGCGGACGUUUAAGUCAGGGGUGAAAUCCCAGGGCUCAACCCUGGAACGGCCUUUGAUACUGGACGUCUGGAGAUCGGGAGAGGUUGGUGGAAUUCCGAGUGUAGAGGUGAAAUUCGUAGAUAUUCGGAGGAACACCAGAAGCGAAGGCGGCCAACUGGCCCGAUACUGACGCUGAGGCGCGAAAGCGUGGGGAGCAAA